GGUCUCACUAUGUAGUUCAGGCUGGCCUUGAGCUCACUUUGUAGUCCAGGCUGGUCUUGAACUCACAACAAUCCUCCUGCCUCAGCCUCCCGAGUGCUGGCAUUACAGGCAUGAGCCAUCAUGCCCG
rnacentral:miRNA from 1 species